rnacentral:tRNA from 1 species
GGUGACGUGUCCGAGCGGCCGAAGGUGCAACACUCGAAAUGUUGUGUAGUGAAAGCUACCGCGGGUUCAAAUCCCGCCGUCACCGCCA